GUACUGAGACACGGACCAGACUCCUACGGGAGGCAGCAGUGGGGAAUAUUGCACAAUGGGCGCAAGCCUGGUGCAGCAACGCCGCGUGAGGGACGAAGGCCUUCGGGUUGUAAACCUCUUUUAGCAGGGAAGAAGCGAAAGUGACGGUACCUGCAGAAAAAGCACCGGCUAACUACGUGCCAGCAGCCGCGGUAAUACGUAGGGUGCAAGCGUUGUCCGGAAUUAUUGGGCGUAAAGAGCUCGUAGGCGGUUUGUCACGUCUGCUGUGAAAUUUCGAGGCUCAACCUUGAACUUGCAGUGGGUACGGGCAGGCUAGAGUGCGGUAGGGGAGAUGGGAAUUCCUGGUGUAGCGGUAGAGUGCGCAGAUAUCAGGAGGAACACCAAUGGCGAAGGCACAUCUCUGGGCCGUAACUGACGCUGAGGAGCGAAAGCGUGGGGAGCAAACAGGAUUAGAUACCCUGGUAGUCCACGCCGUAAACGGUGGGUGCUAGCUGUGGGCCACAUUCCACGUGGUCCGUGACGAAGUUAACACAUUAAGCACCCCGCCUGGGGAGUACGGCCGCAAGGCUAAAACUCAAAGGAAUUGACGG
rnacentral:rRNA from 1 species